GCCGCGCGUGCGCAUUGCGGCGCGGAGGCUCGGCUGCGGCGCGGCUGGUGUCCGAGGUCCCUAAGGCUGCGCUGGUCGGCGCCGGGUCUCCGUGCCCCGGGGCGCCCGAGACGGAGCCGUGCCCGGGUGUUGGGCUCAGGGCUCGACCCAGCGCGUCCACACCCACUGCAUGCAGCGGUCGUGCUCAGCCUGCAUGCAGUGUCCGCAGGCUCAGGAGCCUCACUGCAGAAGGAGAACCGAUCUACUUCCAUCAGCGGCCCGGCGGACCGUUCGUGAGCGCCCGCUGGGUGCCGGCGCUGGGUCCAAGCCCAGGGCGCGGUAGCUCCCCGCCCUCGUGGAGCUUGAAGUCCAGCAGCGAGCGAGUGAAGGCGAGAGAGACAAGGAGCCCAGCUCUUCAGCCUCCAAAUGCCUCCUCUUGUGAAAAAGCAGCCGUGAAUGACCUGGCCUUGAGUUGGGUUCGAAUCCCGACUCCUUUCCAUCCUGCCUUUGGGACCUUGGGCGAAGAGAUCCCCUGAUCCCCUGACCUCUCUGAGGCUCGCAGUUUCCAUUACUAAAGGUGGAAAAGGUCAUACCUGAAGCCCAGAGUCUCCUCUAUCACGUACAUGGUUGUCGGGGCCAGACGAGACAACGAUUGCGGGAAAGCCUGGAGACGGUGUGAGCUCAUUUAAUGCGUGUUUUGUCCUGCUGCUUGGACUCCGAUACCAUUUGCUGGGAACCUCCUUCCACCCCCGACACACGCGCACUUUUGACCUUUCGGAAAGAAAGUGUGCCUAAAAUAGAUCCGUCUCUGAGGAAAGAAGGGGGCCAGUCCCAAGAAAAAGUGACUCAGACGUUGCUUCCUACAAAAUAAAAGUGCUUCCUAGGAAGGGCAGACUGUGGCAGGGAGCAGCAAUUUCUCCAGGAAUAACCGUCAACAGUUUAUUUCAAAGCUCCGGAAGGAGCAAGGCGGGAUUCCAACACCUUCCUGUUGGAGGUCAGAGGUCAGGGUGCGUGGACGUUGGCCAGAAGCAGGGCGAAGAUGCAGGGCCGGGGCGAUUCCUCCACACGAAGUGGAGUUCGGGAAGACCCGUGUCAGCCACAGGACCGGCAGCUAGGCAAAAAUGCCCCCCCCCCCCCAACUGAAAUAACAAGAGCUGAGCAGAGAGCAUGCCGACCCAGAGAGGGAUCACCGACGGCAGGUUCUUUCCCCGCUGCUCUUUGCUGCAAUGCCGGACCUUCGUUCCUGAUAAGGGAGCUUCCUGGUUCUCUAUCUUCUGUGGCUCAGAAAAGCUAGCGGGCCUUUCCUCACACAAACGCAUUUAUGUACAAAGAGUUCAUAUCCAUAGGGCAGAGAGUUCCAGCUCCCUCCAGAGUGGGAUGGCCUUGGGAAGGGCACCGAAAAUCUCGCUUGGCCACUGCCUAGACAUCGCUGGUGGCCAAAGGCGCUAAAUGCAGGAAAAACCCGUUAAUUCUAGGUGUUGGAGAAACAGAAGGCUAGGCAUUAGAGGAUUUUCCCUAAAAUGUAGCCGAAUUGUCACCUCCCCUGUUAACUUCCACUCCUGCAUUGCAGUUCUAGCCUCUGGAGUCACCCGGAGUCGAUGGACAGUACCACUGGCUUUCCCGGAAAGGUUUCUGGAGUUAGAGCUGGUUAUAAAUCCCAGCUCAGGCAAGAAGCAGCUGUGAGUCUGCUCCCUAACCUGUGUGAAACUCAGCUUCUCAUGUAAAAUUCAGGGAACAAUAGGACCUAGCUCACAGGGCAGUUGUCAACAUUAAACAAGAGAAAGCAGGUCAAGGCUUAGCAUAGUCCCUGACAGAUUUACAUUUCUCAGAAGCCCACAUUCAGUCACAUAAAAUGCUUUGUGGACUGUCUGGAAAUGGGGGUAUUUACAGCCUGGAAAAGGGCCCAGCUGGAAUAGAAACCACUCCCAUAGACCCCCUUAAAGUUGACAUACUGUCCCCUCUUUAAAGCAGGGAGAGUUCAUCUGGAAAUGUUACUGCUGGCCGUUCAACCAGGGACGUUCUCCCCCUUCCUGUUUAGUUUGCCUAGUCCUUUUUCAGUGUUCCAUAGAUCACCUCUGUUACAGGCUGAAUCACGUCUCCGAAAAAAGAGUUGUUAAAGCCCUAAUCCCCAGUGAAUGGAAAUGCAAGUUCACCCCAGUGGAUGUGACCUUAUUUGGAAACAGGGUCUUUGCAGACAUAGUUAAAAUGAAGUCAUUAGGUGGGCCCUUAUCUAAUAUGAUUGGUGUCCUUAAAAAAGAAGAAAUUCAGAGAGGCGAAUGCCCUGUGGAGACAUAGAGAAGCAUGGGGAGAAAGGGCCAUGUGAAGACAAAGCCACAUGGGAGUUCUGUUCCCACAAGGCAAGGAAUACCUGGAGCUGUCAGAAACCGGAAAAGGCAAGAAAGGAGCUUUCCCUAUAGCAUUCCGAGGGAAUAGGGCCCCGAGGACACCUUGAUUUUACACUUCUAGCUCCCAGAACUGAGACAAUGAAUUUCUGUUGGUUACAGCAGCCCUAAGAAAUGAAUUCAAGCUCCCAGAUAUGAUUACCUAACAUACAGGAGGAGGCAAGACAGCUUUGAGAGCUCUGUGUGCAGAUCGUGGUUCCUGAAGGUCAGAGGAACUCCUUCCGAAUCAGCUGGUAUGUCAUUCACUCCCCUGAACAUUUCUCCCCAGCAGGAUGGCGGUCAGUCUCAAGAUUGCUCAAGUAAUUAAAAAUGACACAAAGGAAAAAUUGUGUCCAAUAUUAUAAUAUUAUCCAAUUUGGCUUUACAUUUAUUGGAAAUAAAGACGACGUACACUGGGAAUGUGUUAUUUGCAGGGAAGUGCUUGCAAGUACCUGUCUAGAAAAUCUUUUUUUUUUGUCAUUUAUAAAUAAAAAUGUGAAAAUUAUAGACAGCCAGUCAUGAAAACUGUUAUUGAUGGUGCUGCAGAAGGCACUUUGCAUUGUGAUCUUUAUUUUGAACAGAUUUGAUUCUCAAACCAAAACACAAUACCUGGUUUUUAGAAUAUACUGAAUUAACUCCUAUAGGAUGGAAUUCUAGAAUUAGAAUUGCGGAGCAGAAAGAUAUAUUAACAGAGUUUGCCAAGUUAAUUUCGUAAGUGCUGAAGUAAUUCCAGUGCCCGUUGUUAUUAACAAUUUAUAGGACCUCCAGCUUGGCUUUCUGUCUUCUGGCCCCCCUACUAGGACUGAGUGUAACAUUCUUCUCAACUCUUUGCCACCUGUUGGGUGAAAAACAUGUUAACUCAUUGUUACUUUAAUUGCUACUUCCCUAAUAAUUGUGAAGUUGAGCUCUUUUUUUCAUUUGUCCAUGAAAAUCAGGAUUUCCCCUUCUAUAAAAUGGUAUUUUUAUUCUUUGACUAUUUUUCAAUUGGACUAUUUGUUCUUAUAUUAUCAAUUUACGGGAGUUCAUUGAAGUGCCAUGUCUAGGAAUCUUUUAUCCGACAUAUGUGCUUCAAAGAUUUUUCGUAAUCUGUGCUUUCUGAUGUUGCUUAUUGUCUUUUCUUGUCAUGGUUUAAAUAUUUACAUAGUCAAAUGUUUCAUUUCCCUUUGUUGUUGUUGUUGUUGUUUUUGAUUGUCCCGGCUUGCUUAAGACAUCCCCCAAACACACACACCACUGUCACAAAUGCCAAGAACAUACACAUAUUGUCAUAGAUUUUCUUCUAAGUAGUUAUUCAAUGCUUUUUAAAGAUUUAAUUUUCAUGGAAUUAUUUCUUUAUGUACGUAUGUAUUAUUUUUUAUGUAUCUACCUUUUCCUCCCUGUUUGACAGGCAGCUUUGGAUGGAACAAUCUGUGUUUAAAUAAACCUCCCUUUCUCCACUGA